CGAGUGGCGGACGGGUGAGUAAUGUCUGGGAAACUGCCCGAUGGAGGGGGAUAACUACUGGAAACGGUAGCUAAUACCGCAUAACGUCGCAAGACCAAAGAGGGGGACCUUGGGCCUCUUGCCAUCGGAUGUGCCCAGAUGGGAUUAGCUAGUAGGUGGGGUAACGGCUCACCUAGGCGACGAUCCCUAGCUGGUCUGAGAGGAUGACCAGCCACACUGGAACUGAGACACGGUCCAG
rnacentral:rRNA from 1 species